rnacentral:rRNA from 1 species
AGUGAACGCUGGCGGUAGGCCUAACACAUGCAAGUCGAACGGCAGCACAGUAAGAGCUUGCUCUUACGGGUGGCGAGUGGCGGACGGGUGAGGAAUACAUCGGAAUCUACUUUUUCGUGGGGGAUAACGUAGGGAAACUUACGCUAAUACCGCAUACGACCUACGGGUGAAAGCAGGGGAUCUUCGGACCUUGCGCGAUUGAAUGAGCCGAUGUCGGAUUAGCUAGUUGGCGGGGUAAAGGCCCACCAAGGCGACGAUCCGUAGCUGGUCUGAGAGGAUGAUCAGCCCAACUGGAACUGAGACACGGUCCAGACUCCUACGGGAGGCAGCAGUGGGGAAUAUUGGACAAGGGGGGCAAGCCUGAUCCAGCCAUACCGCGUGGGUAAAGAAGGCUUUCGGGUUGUAAAGCCCUUUUGUUGGGAAAAAAAAGCAGCAGGUUAAAACCCCGCUGUUCGGGCGGUACCAAAAAAAUAAGCACCGGCUAACUUCGU